rnacentral:rRNA from 1 species
GAUGAACGCUGGCGGCGUGCCUAAUACAUGCAAGUCGAGCGAACUGAUUAGAAGCUUGCUUCUAUGACGUUAGCGGCGGACGGGUGAGUAACACGUGGGCAACCUGCCUGUAAGACUGGGAUAACUUCGGGAAACCGAAGCUAAUACCGGAUAGGAUCUUCUCCUUCAUGGGAGAUGAUUGAAAGAUGGUUUCGGCUAUCACUUACAGAUGGGCCCGCGGUGCAUUAGCUAGUUGGUGAGGUAACGGUUCACCAAGGCAACGAUGCAUAGCCGGCGUGAGAGGGUGAUCGGCCACACUGGGACUGAGACACGGCCCAGACUCCUACGGGAGGCAGCAGUAGGGAAUCUUCCGCAAUGGACGAAAGUCUGACGGAGCAACGCCGCGUGAGUGAUGAAGGCUUUCGGGUCGUAAAACUCUGUUGUUAGGGAAGAACAAGUACGAGAGUAACUGCUCGUACCUUGACGGUACCUAACCAGAAAGCCACGGCUAACUACGUGCCAGCCGCCGCGGUAAAAC